rnacentral:snRNA from 1 species
GUGUUUGCUUCAGUGACACAUAUGCUAAAUUGAAACAAUACAGAGAAUAUUAGCAUGGCCCCUGCACAAGGAUGACAUGCAAAUUUGUGAAGCAUUCCAAAUUUUU